AUAUCGUCUUAAAUUUCUAUCUGCUGUUAAAUUUCUGUAAUAUCAUGUAUAUUUAUCUAGAACAUAUUACUUUGUGCUUACGAAUUAGACAUUUCUGCUACGUGACUUAUACAGGAUUUAAUGAUAUUCAAUUAUUCAAGGUCAAAUUUCACUUUGCCCACUUGUGGUUUACCUGGAAACACUUUAUCUACUCUUUGGUUUAAAAAUUGGCACUUUACCCACUUGUGGUCAUAUCCGUUAACAGUCGGUUGCUCAUUUUACCCACUUGUGGUCAUAUCCGUUAAUAGUCAGUUGCUCACCUAUCCACUUGCCAUUACUCUAACACCUUCUAACUGAAAAACAGAUUACAAACUGAAUCAAACGCAAUGAAUCCUAGAGAAACAAACCUGAGGCCACCCCUUCACCCUCUCUUUGAUUGAGCCACUCCAUCAAGAUCACCGUGUGAAAUAUCCAUCAUCAAUUUUGAUUACCAUUUCAAUCAAAACCCCUGUGAUAGAUUUUGAGGAAUUUCCCUCUGGAGUUAAAUUCUAGGACAAGGUAGGAAAUGUUAGAAACACAGCUUGUUUCUCUAGCUCUGUGAGGUUUUUAAUGGAGAAGAUGUUGGGAUAGGCUGUGGAGAGGAGUGUUGCAGCUUUGUUGUAUGUCUAGUUAGGCCGCUUUCGUGGGGUUUGGGGCUUUCGGGUUGAGAUUGCAAGUGGGAAUUGCUGGACUUGGAGAGAUUUGAAGAAGUAGAAGAAGAUGUAUGAGUAUGGGUGUGAGUGUGAGAUGUCCAUGUUGAUGUUGUCGAUGGGGAUUUCACGAUUUCUAGGUCCAGUGCAUAGGUUCUUCCACCCCCUCCGGUUAAACACAAAGACACAUUUGUGGACCCCAAAUUUCAGAUUGGAAGACAGGAAUUGAAGAAAAUCACUAAGAAUUGGAGGUCUUUGUCUGAAAUUUUAGAUUGAAUUCAAUUCAGACAUUAGUGAAAUGAAUGAAAUCAAUAGCAGUUGGAGGUCUAGAACCCAAAAAUCAGAUUGAAUUCAGGGUUUUCAUUACAGAGAGAUUGAGCAGGUACAAUUCCAAGAGCUAGAAGAGACCAAACCCAUGAAAAACAAUUUCAACUUUGAAGCAAAUUCAUUUGAGAAUCAGACUGUAAUUUAGAGAUCCAAUACCUGAAAGAGCUCAAACUUGCUACACUUGACAGAUAACUGGGAAGGAAAAUACGAGAAAAAAAAAAGGCCUUCCAGCUUUGCAUAAAAAAUUUGAUCUGCCAGCUCCAUUUGUAUUGCAUACUGACUGCCCUUAUUACUGGCGCUUUCAUCUUCUAGGUUAUCACCUUACUGGUCUGAUGCCCGAGAUCUUUUGUUAGCUUUUUCGGUUAUUAUUGAACUUUCAUAUUCCAGGUGAAAGAGAGGGAGAGUACUCAACCAGAUUAGCCAAUAAUUUGGAGAAUCUUAUCCUCAAAGGACCAGAGAAGAUUGCUGCAUUCAUAGCUGAGCCUGUCAUGGGGGCAAGAGGUGUGAUACCUCCCCCUGCAACAUAUUUUGACAAGGUAAGUUAUUUGUAUCGUGAGAUGCUUGACAAAUGUCAGUCUCCACCUUUCAAAUUGGUUGUCAAGCAUCUGAAAUAAAGUCUUGAAAUUGAAUGCUUUGCACCUAAUAAUAUCAAUGCAUUUGCAAGAGAAUUCUACCGGUAUAUAUAAAUGACCAGCACAUAGUUUGUGACUGAUGUACUUAGUUGGUGCAAUGUUUGGUUAUUGGACCUGAUCCAGCCCCAUCAGUUGAACUGUUUAUGAAAUCAAUUCAAAUUGAUUCACUGAGUUUCUUCAAUUCUGUCAUUUGGUAUGCAUUUUGUUCUGGAAACUCGUAAUCUCAAAUGUUGAUAAGUCAUUCUGUUAGCUGUCUUUACCACCAGCCAGGAAGGGUCCCUUUGUGGAAACUUUAUCUUGUCUUAUAAUUCUUCUCUUUCUAGAUGAACUCAUAAAAUUAAUCCUCUUGGUUGAACUAGUGACCAGUGAUAUGGCUACAUGAAUGAAUUCAAGUAUGGCGCAGGUCCAUUAAAAACAUGAGUGUUUCUGUAUAGUGUCAGUUAAUAUAUUUUAUGCUACUAUAGUCUACUUAAAUCUUGAUAUUCCAGUUUCAUGUUGACGUUACAUGCCACCUAUGUUUGGUAAACCUCUGCCUCUCUCUCUC